GCAUUCUUAGCUCAGUUGGAUAGAGCAACAACCUGUUGAAGGUCACAGGUUCAAAUCCUGUAGAAUGCG
rnacentral:tRNA from 1 species